rnacentral:miRNA from 10 species
CAGAAUAGUAGAAGAGUAAA